CCCCCCCUCCUGCCGCCGCCUCUCCCCCUGCCCCUAUUAUUCUUCAGCUCUUAUCCUCUUCCACUUCUGAGGGUCUCUCUCUCCUCGGUUCGUUCUUCGUCCACAACAGCAAAGAGGAGCGCUUGCUGGUUUCAUCAAUAAUUAGAGACUGCUAAAAAGAAGACGGCUGCUAGAAUGGGAAGCUGGCAUCCUUGUAUAAUGAAAUAGUCGUAUAAUGCGUAUGGUCUUGUGGCUGAGGUGUUGAAGAAGCUAAUGGCUAUUUCUCCAGCUCAACGCACAACCUAACGAUGUCUGCAAUGAGUGAAUUGCAUUUAUAUGAGGAUGCUGAGAAGGCUCUUCUCACUACAUCUUCUACCAAUGAAACAUCAAUUUUGCGAGUUCCGCAGGCAUUGAGUUCUCUUGUUGCUGUAUUAUAUUCGAAGAAGGAUCCUUGAUUAGGACUAUGCUGAUGCUCUUCCGCGGGUAUCAGAACUAAAUGCUGCAUUCCUUGUGGAUGGAAUUGAGCAAUUUCAUCAGCAAAAUUGAAAGCUCUUCGGAGCCAAGAUCAGCUUUGGUCACGAUGGUUGGAACUUCUUUCAAUUUGUUCUUUUAGCUCUGUAUUCUUUUUUUCUUUCAGCUCUGUAUUCUUUUUUCUUUCAAUUUGUUGGAAAGAACAGGCAUUCUCAUUUUUGUUCUUCACUUUGGGUCAUUUCUUGUCUGAUUUUUUUUAUUUUACAUGUUCUGUAUUUCAUAGACUAUGGUCUUUGUUUCGACCGUUACUUGUUAAAAUCAAGGAUCUGAAUAGUUUUGACUGUUUAA